ensembl:lncRNA
GAGUGGAGAAAGAGAGACAGAUACUUUAGGACCCCAACUUUCAGUGUUACUGGUCCCAAAACAUAUAAACUGUUAACAAAACUCAAGUAUUACAUUACACUUCAAUCUAAUGGGUCUAAAAACAAGUUUAUUUUAACAUUAUCUAUGACAUUUUUACUUUUUUCUUGAAAUUUAAAAGUUAUCUGGGGUCUUCCCUGACAGUUCAUAAAUGUGUAAUUUGAGUCACCGUAGACUGUUGCCUGCUGUUUUUGUGAUAAAAGUUGUUUUUGUUGUUUGUCCUCAUCAGGGAGCCGCUGGGGACGCCAAGGAGGAGGUGAGACUGAGACAGACUCAACACUGACCUCAACUACAACCCAUCACUUAUAAUUACUAUUCUUUAUCAGCUCCGUUUCAACAUAGUUGGUCUCUGACAGUGUGUGUGUUGACAUGUUUUCUCUUCCUGUUGCAGCCCCAGAGGAGAUCCGCCCGGUUAUCAGCGAAACCAGCCCCAGCCAAGACUGAACCCAAGGCCAAGAAGGAGAAACCAGCAAAGGUACGAGAACAGAACUACAAACCCCAGGGCUGCACACAACAUCACUUCAAACUCAAGAACCAUCAAACAGAACAAAAGACUAGAACAUCGCAUUACAGAACUACAAACCCCAGAAUCAUCACAAAAAACCUAACUACAAACCCCCCUCUCUAGAAAGAGAAGGCAUACAUAUGAACAUAGUAUACAGUGCCUUUGGAGAGAGUGUUCAGAGUGUUGUUAAGUUACAGCCUUAUUCUAAAAUGGGCACAAAAAUACAUACAUCCUCAUCAAUCUACACACAAUACCCCAUAAUGAUAAAGUAAAAAGAGGUUUUUAGAUUUUUUUGCAAAUGUUUUAGAGCUGGCCGCCCGGCCAAACUGAGCAAUAGGGGGAGAAGGGUCUUGGUCAGGGAAGUGACCAAGAACCCGAUGGUCACUCUGACAGAGCUCCAGAGUUCCUCUUUGGAGAUGGGAGAACCUUCCAGAAGGACAACCAUCUCUGCAGCACUCCACCAAGCAGGCCUUUUAUGGUAGAGUGACCAGACAGAAGCCAUUCCUCAGUAAAAGGCACCUAAAGACUCUGACCAUGAAAAAACAAGAUCCUCUGGUCUGAUGAAACCAAGAUUGAAGUCUUUGGCCUGAAUGCCACAUCUGGAAGAAACCAUGGCACCAUCCUUACAGUGAAGCAUGUUGGUGGAAGCAUCAUGUUGUGGGGUUGUUUUUCAACGGCAGGGACUGGGAGACUAGUCAGGAUCGAGGGAAAGAUGAAUGGCGCAAAGUACGGAGAGAUCCUUGAUGAAAAUCUGCUCCAGAGCGCUCAGGACAUCAGACUGGGGCGAAGGUUCACCUUCCAAUAGGACAAUGACCCUAAGCACACAGCCAAGACAACGCAGGAGUGGCUAAGGGACAAGUCUAUGGAUGUCCUUGAGUGGCCCAGCCAGAGCUGAUAAGGUAAUUAAGUACAUUCACCAGAUGAGGUAAGAGGCAAGGAGAUAAAGUGCAGGUUACGGAGUUAGUUACAGACAGGGGCGAUAGAGCAACAGUGUUGCUUUGUCAAUAUGGGGGUCACUCAAAAAUAUGGGGGCCACUCAAAAAAAACUGAUUUAAUCCAUUUUAGAAUAAGGCUGUAACCUAAAAUGUGGAAAAGGUCAAGGGGUCUGAAUACUUUCCGAAGGCUCUGUAGAUAAUGUCUGUCCACCCCACCCCCCCCCACCCAGAAAGAGAAGGCUGUGAAUAGCCAAGAGGAGGAAAGAAACUAAGAAGGCAGCAGCGAAGAGAACGCAGAGGCUGAAGCUGCUGAGAGGAACCACUCUGAGAACGAGAUGCCAAGACAACCAGGUAAUAACAUACUUACUGGACAUUUUACUACUAUACUGUAGACUGCUAUACUAUAUAACUACUCUACUGUAGACUACUAUACUAUAUACUGCUCUACUGUAGACUACAGUACUAUAGACUACUAUACUGUAGACUACUAUACUAUAGACUACUAUACUGUAACUACUACUGUAGACACAGUACUAUAGACUACUCUACUGUAGCUACAGUACUAUAGCUACUCUACUGUAGACUACAGUACUUUAGACUACUCUACUCGUAGACUACAGUAUGUAAACUACUCUCUCUGUAGAUAACAGUACUGUAGACUACGCUACAUGCACUACUAUCCUAUUACUACUAUACUAUAUAAUACUCUACAGUGCAC